rnacentral:rRNA from 1 species
GAUGAACGCUGGCGGCGUGCCUAAUACAUGCAUGUCGAGCGAACAGACGAGGAGCUUGCUCCUCUGACGUUAGCGGCGGACGGGUGAGUAACACGUGGAUAACCUACCUAUAAGACUGGGAUAACUUCGGGAAACCGGAGCUAAUACCGGAUAACAUAUUGAACCGCAUGGUUCAAUAGUGAAAGACGGUUUUGCUGUCACUUAUAGUUGGAUCCCCGCCGCAUUAGCUAGUUGGUAAGGUAACGGCUUACCAAGGCAACGAUGCGUAGCCGACCUGAGAGGGUGAUCGGCCACACUGGAACUGAGACACGGUCCAGACUCCUACGGGAGGCAGCAGUAGGGAAUCUUACGCAAUGGGCGAAAGCCUGACGGAGCAACGCCGCGUGAGUGAUGAAGGUCUUCGGAUCGUAAAACUCUGUUAUUAGGGAAGAACAAAUGUGUAAGUAACUAUGCACGUCUUGACGGUACCUAAUCAGAAAGCCACGGCUAACUACGUG